rnacentral:rRNA from 1 species
GCCCGCAAGGGGAGCGGCAGACGGGUGAGUAACGCGUGGGAAUCUACCUUUUGCUACGGAAUAACUCAGGGAAACUUGUGCUAAUACCGUAUGUGCCCUUCGGGGGAAAGAUUUAUCGGCAAAGGAUGAGCCCGCGUUGGAUUAGCUAGUUGGUGGGGUAAAGGCCCACCAAGGCGACGAUCCAUAGCUGGUCUGAGAGGAUGAUCAGCCACACUGGGACUGAGACACGGCCCAG